GGGGGUAUCUCAUCUGGAGAUUCCUGCCUACCUGAUGACUUUAUAGGUCUUCUGAUGUGCACUACAGUCCAAAAGAGCCAGCCUGGAGAUGGCCAUCAGGCCACCAUCUUGGAACAAACUCAGUAGAUAAUGCUCCCAUCCAAAGGAAAUUGUUCCUGGGGCAACCAUAAUGGGAAGGAUUUCAAACUGGAUGGAAAUCACUGACACAAGCUGCUGUCGAUGCCAGAAGUUUACAUGGUUUUAAAAAGCAAUUAGACACAAUUAUAGAAGAAAAAUCCAUGAAAGGCAACUAAACCCUGAUUGAUGGAAGCUAGGAAAGGGUCUAGGUACAGAUCGUUGCAUGCCCCUUGCCCGUGAGUCUGCUACCCACCGCUGCCAGAAGAACACAGUUUUCACCUGACUGACAGCCUUCCUUAUGGUGUUAAAUUAAGAAGUCUCACUGAGUGCAUUUAGGAAGAGAACAGGAAAAAAUACCUACCUUCAGGUUAACAACUUACAAGUUGUUGGGAAUUUUGCAUUAAAAUCAUCCUUUGUAUCUCAUCAGUAUUCAGAUCUGCUUCUCCCUAUUAGCUUCCUUAGGAAGAACAUACACACUGGAUUGUGCUACAAUCAUGGGCAUUUGAAUGCCAGCCGUGCCCUUAAUUGGAUGGAGUCUUGCAUGGUUGCUGGCAAUAGAGCCCUGAUUCUCAGUACAGUUACUGGCCUCAAGUUCAUUUAUGGUAUGAGGUGCAUCUUAGACAAUGGGUGUUUGUCUGCUUUCAGGCAGGAGCAUGAUUGCUGAACAGUGGAAGCUGGUUACUCUGUUAAGCUAAACAGAAGAAUCUGGUGGAGCACAAGCAAUACUUUCCUUUGACACGUAAAAAGAAUAGUCAAGUUUACAACAGUGAAAAUCAUACUCAUCUUGUGCACAGGAGGCAAGUCCUCCCAGCAAUGUGAGAUCUUACAAGAUGCUCAACAUCUUGAAAUGUUCUGCAUGUGCCCUCUUUUCAUUCUGACUGUGGAGAGGAAACAGUGCCUUACAGGAGGAGUUGUCACUGACGCUCCUGAUGACUGUCACAAAACUGGGGUACGUGUAACUGCUAAAACUUCACUUGUUUUAGGCAGAUUUCAAUAGAGUUUGCUGGCUGAAUUUAGUUACUAGGUUAUUUUAAUAAAGCCUAUUUUAUAAGAUGUGGAAAAAAAAAUACUGAAAAGUAGUAAGGAAAGACUUAAAAAAAAAAAAAAUAGCACUAGCAAACACACAAAAGACUUAUUAGUUUUGGAUUGGGCUUUGAGGUUGUUUGUUUUUUUUUGCUGACAGCGCCCGCUCCCAUAGAUAUCACACCUAAGAAUACCCAAAUAGCAGCCUCUCACUUCCAUCUUGCUCUGGAGUCUCCUAUGCUUUACUGUGAUGUGAGAUUCCAGUCUCACUGAAUAUCUUUGGUGACUUUGUCUUCUUCCUGAUAAUCAGUUACCUCCCCUCCUAUUUGCAACAGCUAAUAUUCCUGUGACAGCCAUUCCUUAGAUGAUAAGGCAGCAUUAGGAAAGCAUUUGAUGAACAUUAAUUGCUUCUUAAGAUGACUUAGCUGCUGGAAAUAAGAAGGCUAAACUAGCACCAUGUGACCAUGCAGCCCUACAGGCAUCACCACCAGACUCCUCAGAUGCAAUCUGGUUGACCUGGGGUAAGCAGCCUUUCACAGAUGAUACCCGAGGCCACCUUUUAUUUUUCCAAAUUAGCAGCUAAGUCAGGUUGUAGGAUCUUGGUGAAAAAGUCAUUGUGACACCACCUGGAUGAUUAGUGAUCUCUUCCUCCUGUGCAAGCCAGCAAUUAUCAGUUCUCACUGACUUCGAAGCCAAUGGGAAUCAGAAGCUGGGAGAUGCUGCCAAGAUGUGGCAGCUUCCAGCUGUCAGGAAGGUGUGGGGCAGCCUCUGUGUACGUUGUCUUCUACAUGACAUCUUGCCUUUAUCUUUUUGUCCCUUCUGUGAGGUUACCUGAUACUGUUGCUCCUGAUGUGGCAACACAAUGCAGGAGACAAAUAUGAUCAUUAAAUCGGGAUUUGAAUUUAGGAAUUCUGGAUUCAUCAUUGAUUCUCUUCUCACCCUUUAGGUAGGUCACUAAACCUCCCUCCUGAGCUGCUCUGACAGAGAACUAAAGCUGAUAACAUCUACGGAUACUGUGACACUCAAUCAAUAAAUGUCUGUUAAGUUGUUUGUAAACAACAAGCCCCAACUGCUAAGUCUAAUUAUACAGAUAGGUUUUAUAAUCUUCUCCUUUUCUUUGUGAGAAUUUUAGUAUGACACAGAUUAACCUUUUGAUCUGGAGGGGAAAAAAAUAAAGAUUUCUGCUGGUAUUAUAGACUGGUGGUGGUGACAGACCUCAAGCCUGAAAUAUGACUUCCUUACUGAGAUCACUAAAUUUCCCAUGGAUUAGCUGACAGUGAUACUUCAGAACUCAGGGGAAAACUGUACUCUCACAGCGAAAUAAUACCAAGAGUGGAAAAAAAUAUGUAUUCUGGACUGUAAUGCUUAGUUGUCUUUCCUGCACAGCUUAUAUGGAGUACUAUUAGACUUUUUAAAGUGGAAAACUUACUGUUUUAUGCAGUAUUUAAUGGAAAUAACAAAGUAGUUUGAAGAACAGAAACCUUUACACUUUUCUGAGGCAACUGUAGACCAGAAUCCUCUGGUAUCUGCUAACCAGCAAAGACAUUUAUUUACAAUGAGAAGCCUGAUUAUAUGCCUUUACAUAUUCACCUAUGGUGCCAACUAAGCUUAUAGCACAUGCCUGAAAAGGGGAACUUUUUAAAGGAGGUGAAAUUUCUUCAAGAUGUUUACCAUUGCCGACAGCACCAGAACAGCAUGCUUCUCCAGGACUUCAGGAGCCCUAAUGCUGUGUUUUGUUUUUGGACUGUGACCAAGGACUGUAAAGCCAGGAGGAAAACGGAGCCAUGCGUGCUGUGGGCUCUGAGUGCUGAGCCAGGAAGUACCUGCUGCCCCUCCAGCUCCCUGACAGCAUCCACAGCACAGCUGUCUGGUGACUUCACAACUGCCCUAAAACAAAUAAUUGGAUAUUUCCUGGUGUAGAGCAUCACAGCAGGUGCCAUGCAGCUCCUUUGGCGGACCACUGGACACUGCAGCUCACCGCAAUAUCCAGCCACUUACCCAACACAUUACCACAUCCCUCAUUUUCUCAUUUAUGUAACUGCAAUGGAGCUUUGUGUCAGAGGAUUAUGAGGCUUCAGAGCAUGGCAAGAAGGGAUGCUUGCAGAUACAGAAUGCAGGAGGGAGAUGGAAGAAGCUGCAGAUGUGAGCUGUGAGCCUGCUCACUGUGACUGAGCAGCUGCCUUAAGGUGUAGCAUCCCUACUACCUCUUCUUUUAAUACAGGGUGCCUCAUUAACAGAGUCCUGUCAUUUCACUAGGCUUCACUAGCGUUCAGCCUCAUGAGAGCAACGCUAAGGGCACAAUUACUCAAAAAAAAGACAUGCAAGCUUGCCACGCAAAGAUUUACUGAAAACACUGUGAAGGUGUUUUAUAUAUAAAGAGCAGGCCUCGGUGUUAUCUGCACAUAACAUAAAGAGAUGCCACAGCACAGCGAGCCGUCUGUGCCAGACGCCGGGGCAGGCUGCCCGCUUUCCCUCGGCGAACCCCCAGCAGGGCCUGCCCCCUCCAGCCAAGCUCCGGUCGCACCGCGCCCCCUCGCCCGGCCGAGGCAGCAGCACCCACGGCAGCCAGCAGCGCGCCCG